rnacentral:rRNA from 1 species
ACUCCUACGGGAGGCAGCAGUAGGGAAUCUUCCGCAAUGGACGAAAGUCUGACGGAGCAACGCCGCGUGAACGAUGAAGGUCUUCGGAUCGUAAAGUUCUGUUGUUAGGGAAGAACAAGUACCGUGCGAAUAGAGCGGUACCUUGACGGUACCUAACGAGGAAGCCCCGGCUAACUACGUGCCAGCAGCCGCGGUAAUACGUAGGGGGCAAGCGUUGUCCGGAAUUAUUGGCGUAAAGCGCGCGCAGGCGGUUCCUUAAGUCUGAUGUGAAAGCCCACGGCUCAACCGUGGAGGGUCAUUGGAAACUGGGGAACUUGAGGACAGAAGAGGAGAGUGGAAUUCCACGUGUAGCGGUGAAAUGCGUAGAUAUGUGGAGGAACACCAGUGGCGAAGGCGACUCUCUGGUCUGUCUCUGACGCUGAGGUGCGAAAGCGUGGGUAGCAAACAGGAUUAGAUACCCUGGUAGGCUCUG